AGUCGUAACAAGGUCUCCGUUGGUGAACCAGCGGAGGGAUCAUUAUCGAGUUAUUCAACUCCCAAACCCUAUGUGAACUUACCACUUGUUGCUUCGGCGCGCGCUUCGGCGCCGCCGAGGACACUUAAACUCUUUGUUUUUAUAAGCAUUUCUGAGUGGCCGAAAGGCAAAAAUACAAAUGAAUCAAACUUUCAACAACGGAUCUCUUGGUUCUGGCAUCGAUGAAGAACGCAGCGAAAUGCGAUAAGUAAUGUGAAUUGCAGAAUUCAGUGAAUCAUCGAAUCUUUGAACGCACAUUGCGCCCGCCAGCAUUCUGGCGGGCAUGCCUGUUCGAGCGUCAUUUCAACCCUCGAGCCCGACUCUUUUGAGGACGGCUCGGCGUUGGGGGACGGCAGACUCCCCCCGGCAUCUCGCCGGGGACGCCGCCCCCGAAAUCUAGUGGCGGCCCUCCGAGGCGACCUCUGCGUAGUAACUUGUUCUCGCACCGGAAAGCUCAGAGCGGCCACGCCGUAAAACCCCAACUUUUUUCAGGUUGACCUCGAAUCAGGUAGGACUACCCGCUGAACUUAAGCAUAUCAAUA
rnacentral:rRNA from 1 species